rnacentral:rRNA from 1 species
UACGGAGGGGGCUAGCGUUGUUCGGAAUUACUGGGCGUAAAGCGCACGUAGGCGGCUAUUCAAGUCAGAGGUGAAAGCCCGGGGCUCAACCCCGGAACUGCCUUUGAAACUAGAUAGCUAGAAUCUUGGAGAGGCGAGUGGAAUUCCGAGUGUAGAGGUGAAAUUCGUAGAUAUUCGGAAGAACACCAGUGGCGAAGGCGACUCGCUGGACAAGUAUUGACGCUGAGGUGCGAAAGCGUGGGGAGCAAACAGG